AGAAUCAGAGAGGGUGAGCGAGCCCUGUGGAAAAACACCAACACAAACCAGCCUGGAAUUAGGGAGAGCAGCAAAGCUCCAUCAGUGCCAUGCUGAAGCAUCUCUGGAAAAUUAUCUCUGGAAAAGCAGAGUUUGGCUUAGGGGAAAAAACAUCCUCAUGGCCAGAAAAGCAUUGGACAUGGGCAGAAAAGGGGGGAUUCAGGAAUGGGAGACGGCAGUGAAGGUGGUGGGGAGUGGGGGGCACGGAGGGGCCAGGACGUGCCUUACUCCCACAUGUGAGUCAAAGGACACGGGAACACCAAGUAUGGUCCUGGGAAACCUCAGCUCCAGCCUGGGAAACCUCAGCCCUGGUUUCCCUGCUGCCACGAGGGCACGGUGUCAGAUAAAGCCUGAUUUAGGAGCGGCAUGGAUUUAUCCCCACCGCUUCCAGAACGUGGCAGGGAUUCACAUCCCCGGUGAGAAACACGGAGAAGACCAUCAGUGACACUACCAGGAACCACCAGCUGGCACCCCCAGCACCCCCACGGGGUGAGGGGCACCCACGGACAACGGGGUCCCAGGGGUGCCUGUGACCCAGAAACAGGAGGAUCCACGGAUGAGAGAGAGGAGCACAGGUGACCCAGGACGGGAAUAGCAACAGCAGCAGCACCAUAAAUUAGCAGCAAAGCAUCUCCGAGCCUGCUCCUUCUUCAGAAGUGCCAUCUGGCGAGAUUGUUUUUGGAGUAGUUAUUUAUUCCUCACUUUCAAGUGUCUACAGGCAUUUUUCGGGAUGACCUGCGAGGCCGGCUCGGCCCCCGCAGUCUCUACGAGGCUCCGGGAGGGAACAGCCGCUUGUUCCCAGGCCUAAAUAAAGAGCAGCUCUGCUGUGAACACCCCGACGCUCAUUGCUGAAAUCUGUUUGCAGCUCAACAGAUCGGGCUGGGUAAUUACAUUAUGUGAGUGCACGGUACCAGCAGUGGGAAUCCAACGCGCCGCUCUCCUCAUGGAAAAAAACAGCCUGGCUUUCGGCAGGGGCUGGAGAACCCUCGGCUUUGGGCCCGCUCUCAUGCUCCCAUCCAUGCCAUGUGGAACUGGGAGAGUGUUUCUACCCAACAGCUCCUGCCUAUGUGGCAUCCAGUCCUUGCAAAGCCACCGAGGCCAAAUGCCACCGACGCCGAGGGCACAGGCAGCGUGUCCAAGCAGGGCCCAUCAUUCCAGCCAGAAAUGUCCUCUUUCCCCCAGAAUUCACUCUGGAAAAACCCAUCCUGCUGCUAACACAGGGGGAUAACCAGGCAAAGCUGCCAUUUGGCUCAUUUAUCCCAAUUUAAACAUUGGGGAGGCACGAGCGGGACACGGCCCCACCGCUGCGGUGCUGAGGAGGAUGAACUGGUCCUGCUGAGCACAUUCCCUGCCCCAUCACAUCCUCCCCCGGCCUCAUGGAAUACAGGAAUACAGAAUCCCAGCGCCUGCCUUGCCGCAGAGGCUAAAUAAAGCAGCAGGAAGAGCUCUCGAAUGCCAGCGAGGCGAUAUAUAAACACCGACGUGGAUGGCGCGCGUGCUAAUGCUGCUCUGGAGCCCAGGAGAAAUGUCUCGUCUCAUACCAACGUGAGGGGCUCCCAUGGCCAAAGGAAAAUCUCCGGGAAAAUCCACGCUCAGCAUGAGCCAUCCCAGGCUCUGCGACGUGGGGAGGGCUCGGAAAGAUGGAGCUUAUCCAGUGUCCGGUCCUGUCUCUCCUCUUUGGGAAAGGAAAAGCCCGAAGACUCCGGUGACAUUUCUCUAACAGUCCUGGAAUUAAUCUCCCUCAAGGUCCCAAGAAGCGGAAACGCAGAUGGAAAAAUGUAAUAAAUAAAAUUCUUUUUGUU